rnacentral:rRNA from 1 species
CCUACGGGCGGCAGCAGUGAGGAAUCUUGGUCAAUGGCCGGAAGGCUGAACCAGCCAAGCCACGUGAAGGACGAAGGUGCCAAGCAUUUUAAACUUCUUUUGUCAAGGGACAAAAUCAGGCUCGAGAGCCUGACCGAGGGUACUUGAAGAAACAGCAUCGGAUAACCCCGUGCCAGCACCCGCGGUAAUACGGAGGAUGCGAGCGUUAUCCGGAUUUAUGGGGUUUAAAGGGUGCGUAGGCGGACUGUUAAGUCAGCGGUAAAAGCCCGGGGCUCAACCCCGGCGAGCCGUUGAAACUGGCUGUCUUGAGAUGUCGAGAGGUAUGCGGAAUGCGCAGUGUAGCGGUGAAAUGCUUAGAUAUUGCGCAGAACUCCGAUUGCGAAGGCAGCAUACCGGCGGCGAUCUGACGCUGAGGCACGAAAGCGUGGGUAUCGAACAGGAUUAGAUACCCUAGUAGUC